GAUGAACGCUGGCGGCGUGCCUAAUACAUGCAAGUCGAGCGAACAGAUAAGGAGCUUGCUCCUUUGACGUUAGCGGCGGACGGGUGAGUUACACGUGGAUAACCUACCUAUAAGACUGGGAUAACUUCGGGAAACCGGAGCUAAUACCGGAUAACAUAUUGAACCGCAUGGUUCAAUAGUGAAAGGCGGCUUUGCUGUCACUUAUAGAUGGAUCCGCGCCGUAUUAGCUAGUUGGUAAGGUAACGGCUUACCAAGGCAACGAUACGUAGCCGACCUGAGAGGGUGAUCGGCCACACUGGAACUGAGACACGGUCCAGACUCCUACGGGAGGCAGCAGUAGGGAAUCUUCCGCAAAGGGCGAAAGCCUGACGGAGCAACGCCGCGUGAGUGAUGAAGGUCUUCGGAUCGUAAAACUCUGUCAUCAGGGAAGAACAAAUGUGUAAGUAACUGUGCACAUCUUGACGGUACCUGAUCAGAAAGCCACGGCUAACUACGUG
rnacentral:rRNA from 1 species